UACGGAGGGUGCAAGCGUUAUCCGGAUUUACUGGGUUUAAAGGGUGCGUAGGCGGCUUUUUAAGUCAGUGGUGAAAGCCUAGUGCUCAACACUAGAACUGCCAUUGAAACUAAAGAGCUUGAGUCAAGGAGAGGUAAGCAGAAUUUAUGGUGUAGCAGUGAAAUGCUUAGAUACCAUAAGGAAUACCAACAGCGAAGGCAGCUUACUGGCCUUGCACUGACGCUGAGGCACGAAAGCGUGGGGAGCAAACAGG
rnacentral:rRNA from 1 species